AUUGAACGCUGGCGGCAUGCCUUACACAUGCAAGUCGAACGGCAGCGGACCUUCGGGUGCCGGUGAGUGGCGAACGGGUGAGUAAUGCAUCGGAACGUGCCAUUGAGUGGGGGAUAACGUAGCGAAAGUUGCGCUAAUACCGCAUAUUCUGUGAGCAGGAAAGCAGGGGACCGCAAGGCCUUGCGCUCUUUGAGCGGUCGAUGACAGAUUAGCUAGUUGGUGAGGUAAAGGCUUACCAAGGCGACGAUCUGUAGCGGGUCUGAGAGGAUGAUCCGCCACACUGGAACUGAGACACGGUCCAGACUCCUACGGGAGGCAGCAGUGGGGAAUUUUGGACAAUGGGGGCAACCCUGAUCCAGCCAUGCCGCGUGAGUGAAGAAGGCCU
rnacentral:rRNA from 1 species